rnacentral:lncRNA from 1 species
CUGAUGUGAAGGAAGCUGCUGCCCAAGUAGGUUUUCUCCUUCAUGAAUCUCUGAAAAGCCAAAUAAGAGUUGAAUCUAUAUCAGUAUCUCUAAGCAACAAUGAUAGCCAUCUGCAAAGCGUCAUUUCAGGACAGUGCUACAAUUUUGUUUGUAUAAAUGAUAAAAACCAUGCUGUUCAAGAAACCCAGCAAGUAGUGGAUAUGUUGGAAAAAUCAAAU